rnacentral:rRNA from 1 species
CAGGCCUAACACAUGCAAGUCGAACGGUAACAGGCCUUCGGGCGCUGACGAGUGGCGAACGGGUGAGUAAUGCAUCGGAACGUGCCCAGUCGUGGGGGAUAACGCAGCGAAAGCUGUGCUAAUACCGCAUACGAUCUGCGGAUGAAAGCGGGGGACCUUCGGGCCUCGCGCGAUUGGAGCGGCCGAUGUCAGAUUAGGUAGUUGGUGGGGUAAAGGCCCACCAAGCCGACGAUCUGUAGCUGGUCUGAGAGGACGACCAGCCACACUGGGACUGAGACACGGCCCAGACUCCUACGGGAGGCAGCAGUGGGGAAUUUUGGACAAUGGGCGCAAGCCUGAUCCAGCAAUGCCGCGUGCAGGAAGAAGGCCUUCGGGUUGUAAACUGCUUUUGUACGGAACGAAAAGGUCUGGGUUAAUACCUGGGCUCAUGACGGUACCGUAAGAAUAGCCGGUAACU